rnacentral:lncRNA from 1 species
CCUCAUCUGGAAAGUGGGAGUAAUCAUGUCUAACUGCUUACCUCUUGAUGUGAAGACUGAAAAAUUAUAAUGGACACAAAAACAUUCUGCACAUCACAAAGAACUAUAAAACUAUUCUCAUUCUUCCUUUAAAAAAAAUUUUUUAACCCCCAAGUAGAACCAGAAGAUUCAGUCUUAUUUCUGAUACCUGAAAGAAAAGAUACUUAUCCAAGGACUUAGAAAACAUAUGCGCCAUUUAUUUUGUUUUAUAAACUUUUGUUAAAACACAGAAGAGUAAGAAAUGUUUUUUGUUUCUUUGCCCCAUCAGGCGGCAGUGAUGGGGGCUCAGGGGUCAGCGCAAGACCUAAUGACAUUCACACCCACAGAAAGAUGUGGGUCGUUCUGAUGGGACCCAGCCCGCUUUGAUAAUUGCUUGAUGUAAAUUUCACAAUUCAUCUUAAUCAGGGCAGAUCACAGAAAAAUUUGGCAAAAGUAAUUGGCUUGGUAAUGACAAGAAAUAGAAGAGCGUUCAUUUCUGACCCUCUCCUCUCCUCUGUCCACUCUCAGGAGAGCCAUGCGGAUUUUUAGAAGCUCCUGAGACCCGCCUGAAGAUCAGGGUGUCUUGGUGGGGAAAUUGUGCCCACGCUUGUCCCCCCAGCAACCCUCUGUUUGUCCAUCAGAUUUUAUGUUUUAGGACCACAACUCAAGUAGCCAAAAAAAAAAAAAAAAAAAAAAAAGAGAGCGAGAGAUUUUCUAAUAUCAUGUCAGCUUAGAGUCAAAAAAGUAAACUUUGUUUUGUGUUUCUCACAUUACAAUAAAGUUAUUAAGGUGGAAUGGGUUUCUCCUCCAGAAAGGGGUAGAUUCCCAGCAGAGAACUGACCCCCUGCUCCAACAGAUUGUUCCCAUGAAGGGCCACUGUUGCCCACGGCACUCCAUGGGACAUUCUUAUCUCAACCUUUCUCCCAAGACAGAGGUCUGAGCAACGCUGGAGGGAGGAGGUGGAGGAACACAGUGGGAAUGACCACAAUGCCCAGAAAUGGUUCCAGCCUCCCUGCCUUACCGCAGACCAGGCUGAGCCGUCUGGCAGGGAUUUCAGGGGCACUUGAGUGAGGUGGUGGGGGAAGGCUUGGGAGCUCUGAGCAGGGCACAGUCUCCGCUGGGAUUGGGGGCUUGGCUGGGACUGCCGUAGGGAUGUGGUGAUUCCUCCCUGACACAUUGCCCCAAUACUUCUCCACGCCUCUUUCUCAUAAAAAACAAUCACUAAUGGUGGGAUUUCUGGGCACUGGGGCACUGCCUCCAACCACUCAGAGGGGUCAGUGUUGAGCAGGGGGCAGGAGUCGGUCCAACAGUUUCCCUCCUACCUAAUCACACCUCCAGCCCCAUAACACAUCCCUUUUGUUCACACUGGUCAGUGGCAUUUUCCAGAAUGUCCUCAAAGCCACCAAGAUUCCACAUGGAUGACAUGCUGGUCGCUCCAUCCUGGGGUCUAAUGCUUCCAGAAUGCACCUGGAGUGACGGUCUCCGGAGCAGCCCUGGGAGCUUAUUCCUCCUGGAUGUCACUCUGAUGUGAGGGUUUACC